rnacentral:lncRNA from 1 species
GGGUAUUAUGUAUUCUGGUCUGUUUGUCCGUCUGUCCCGUUUCAGGUUAAAGUUUUUGGUCAAGGUAUUUUUUGUUGAAAUUGCAGUCCAAUCAAUUCGAAAUAUUGUUCACAUGUUCCCUAUGAUAUGAUCUUUCUAGUUUUAAUGCCAAAUUAGAUGUUUGAUCCCAAUUUCACGGUCCACUGAACAUACAUGUAGAAAAUGAUAGUGUGAGUGAGGCAUCAAUGUACUAUGGACACAUUCUUGUUAGAUUUAUAUUGUUUAGUUGCUUCAUUACUGAUGUAUUAUAUCAUUUAACCCAUAAUUGAUUUUUUUUUAUAUUUUUAUAUGGUUAUUGCCUGUCCUUCUUGUGCCCUGUGAACACACACAAUCAUGCACAUAAAAAAACCUCAUAUACAUUUUUGAAAGUCAUUUGAUACAUAUGAAUUAUUUCAAUUGAGUAUUUGUU